rnacentral:lncRNA from 1 species
UCGACCCUCCAUCAACCACCCAACACCAGCUAAGAGAAAGAGAUGGAUGAGAUCACUUAGAUGUCGAAGGUGUUCUUGCCGGUGAACUUGACCUCGAUGGGGCUGACGUUCUUGCCGAUGCUGCGGAAGUUCUGCCCCACGCCCUGCCUGCCGGCGUUGACCUUCUCCGGGUAGACGCCGUCCUUGGGGUGGAGGUACUGGACCUCGCCGUUGGGGAAGACGCGGUAGAACUGGUAGUUGAUCUUGUACUUGGAGCGCAGCCUGGUGCCGAGCGCCAGGCACUGCUCCUUGCGCGCCAGCUUCAGGAGGUUGGGCCCCUCCCGCAUGAUGGCGGCGCCGCCCGUCGGCAUCUCGAACACCUGCUCCUUGGGGGACGUCCACGUGAUCACGUAGAACUCCUCCACCUGCGCCUUCCGGAGCAGCCCGCCCGUGCUGCCGCCGAAGAUCGGGGACGGGGUGUUGGGGUCAAGCUGCGGGGGCACGAACCCCUUGGGCGCCUCCUGGGUCGCCGCCGCGGGG